rnacentral:lncRNA from 1 species
UUUGACCCUGUGAGGUGAGAAAGGUGUCUUCAUCUCGUAUCAGAGUGGUGUGCUCUAGCUGUGAAAGAGUGGUGUGCUCUGACAGUGUAAAGGUUUCAACUCCACAUGCAAGGAGUUUUUCCAAGAUAGUGGAUUGAACUCUCAAGUGGUGUGCUUGAGGACUGGAUGUAGGUCAGGUGGACUGAACCAGUAUAAAUUCAC